UAUAUAUAUAUAUAUAUAUAUAUAUAUGCAUGUGUGUAUGUAUAUAUGUAAAAAUCGAGUUAAACGAACUGAGUGUUCUAGGUGUGAACGAGUGUAUCGAGUGAGGGAGAGAAAUAGGAAUAUUGAGAGUGAGAGAGAGGAAUGGAGAAGUGAUUAUAUUGACAAAUUUGAGUAAUGAAAAGGUUAUAAAAAAAUACAAAAGAAUAAUAUUAAUAAUAAUAAUAAUAACUCUACGACAUUGUAAAGGCUUCGUCGUAGAUGUAAGACUUUGCUAUGAAGAAUGUUUCUCAGAUCAACGUAAAAGGAGAUAUCCAUUCUACGUUCAUUAAAAUAUUUAAAUGAUUGAGAGAAAAUAUUUGACAGACAGCCUCAUGAAUAAGCAGACUUUAGUAAAAUGACAAUAAUGAAACAGAACUGAAUAUAUAUAUAUAUAUAUAUAUAUAUAUAUGUAUAUAUAUAUAUA